AGCAGUGUGGUGUAAUGGUUAAGGAGCAGGGCUCGUAACCAAAAGGGUUGCUGGUUCGAUUCCCCCACUGCUG